AAAACAAAAAAGACAAGAAAAAAAAUUGCUAUCUAUUUGGUCUGAAGCAGUUUUAAUAAAUUGAGAAAACAAAAUGACAUUACAAAUAAGUGCGUGUGCUAUCCAAGCAGAAGGAAAAUGAAAUCAAAGUGACAAGUUCCAUAAGUAGUGCCCGUUGGUCAGUAAAAGAAGUAGAAUAUUGUUUACAUUAGACAGGCCUGGCAGGAUU